rnacentral:rRNA from 1 species
CCUACGGGGGGCUGCAGUGAGGAAUAUUGGUCAAUGGACGGAAGUCUGAACCAGCCAUGCCGCGUGCAGGAAGACGGCUCUAUGAGUUGUAAACUGCUUUUGUAGAAGGGUAAACCGGAAUACGUGUAGGCAGCUGAAAGGACGGUACGAAUAAGGAUCGGCUAACUCCGUGCCAGCAGCCGCGGUAAUACGGAGGAUCCAAGCGUUAGCCGGAUUUAUGGGGUUUAAAGGGUGCGCAGGCGGUUUGAUAAGUUAGAGGUGAAAUGUCCGAGCUUAACGCGGGAACUGCCUCUAAUACUGUUGCUCUAGCGUGUAGGUGCGGUAGGCGGAAUGUAUGGUGUAGCGGUUA